rnacentral:ribozyme from 1 species
UUUCUUUUUUUUUUUUUUUUUUUUUUUUCUCUC